CUCCAGGAGCGCCAUUGUACUGUGACCCAUCGGAGGGCCCUGAACCUAGCAACACCAGCGUCAUGUGUCUUGCGCCCAAACCCGUUCCUAGAUGCCGCAUGCGCCCAUCGGCCCCAAACCAUGAGAUAAGCCACCCUAUGGCACCUGUCCCCGAAAUACCACGACAAUUGCCGCCCACCAUGGGGCCGACAGCGACGCCAGCCGAAGUGACGUUCCGGGAGGGACCCUACACGGCUUUGUUGUGCGCUACGGUGCAUUUGACUGGGUCAAUGACAACGCCUGUCGUCUGGAGGACGCGAUUCCCCAUCGACGACUCCAUCAUCUCUUUCGGCUCACACCGCGUCUA
rnacentral:lncRNA from 1 species